CACACAUACAAAUGCGUUCUUCCUAUCCGACCGUCAACGCGCCGGAGAAUUCGCGACGAGCGCACAGUCUCGCGCGAAUCCUCGCGCGCGUGGCUCCUAUUUCAUCGUGCUCUGAAACGCAUCGUUGUCAUCGUCGUCCCGCUUGCUUACUAUAUCCAAUAUUAUUUUUUUCGAUCAUAUUUUUUUAUUGUUCAAUUCGUAUGUUAACGGUACGGCGCGUGUGUUUUUCUCGUGAUAUCCAUCAUGGUCGUCGCUUUUGUGAUGAUACCGUGCUGAAUGUACAGGGAAUGAGAUCUCUUAUUUGAACGAAAGAAAGAUAGAUAAAUAGAUAGAUAGAUAGAUAGAUAGACAGAUAGACAGACAGACAGACAGAUAGACAGAAAGACAGACGGAUAGAAUGUGUGAGAUAGUAAGAGAGGAAAGGGGAACACAUACGCGGCCAUUUUAAGUGCGCCGCGCGCUAACCCACCGGGGCCACCCAGUGUGUGCGUAGAAGCGCGCGCUCUCUCGUGCGAGCACAACCGUGCUGCCACCGUCGUCGGUUCAGAACUGCGUCUCUUUGCGUGCGCAGAAGCAAGUCGCGGACAAGUACGAAAGAGCACGCACGCGUGCGCGUGCGAGCACGCGCCGAAGAAUUCACGCGCUAAGAGAACGGAGAAUGUGAAAACGUGUUUUCUCUAUCUUUAUCUCUCUUUCUCUCUCUCACUCUCUCUUUCUCUCUCUCUCUCUCUCUCUCUCUCUCUCUUUCUGUAUAUAUAUACACAUUUUUAUCUUUCUUUUACCUCUGAUUUACUCUGAAUUACUUUGUUAUUCGCAAACGAGGAAAGAAAUACGUACGCGUAAAUACAUACGCGAUAUGAACAUUGUUGGUUGGAAAGAAAUAGAGGUAGAAGAAGCGUGAAAAAAAGAUAAAGAAGACGGCGGGCGGACGUACGAGCGAUCCUCGCCUGCUUACUCGCUCGCCAGGAAGCGUGACGAUCGGCGGAAGUGCGAAAAGAAGCGUGCUGCGCCCGCGAGAAUCGACGACAAUCGUUGAGUAUCAUCAUCGACGUCGAGAUGCGUUCGCAUUGUCUCCUCUCGAUGAUCGAUCGAUCGCCAAGUGGUGUCUCUUAUCCUUUCUCGUAUGGAUUUUGAUCGUUCUCGGAUUUUUAAAUAUACGAUCUUUGAAAUACAAUGUAUCUAUUGUAUUCUCGAUAAUAUUUGUAUAUCAAAUCUACACACGUACGCGAGGCGCGACGAUGGGAAAGAAAAGUGACUGUGCCGGAUGACGAGAAGACGUGACACGAGGGUGGCACGAAGGGGGCUACGCGAUGAUAACCCGCGUGGAAAAGUCGUACGAGAGAGGAGGAGUGCGUGGAAACGAGACUAAGAGAAAGAGAAAGAGAAAGAGAGAGAGAGAGAAAGAGAAAGAUAUGCCGCGAGAGCGUUGCGACAACGACCAGGUGGUGGAACGUGGGAAAGCCAACGUAAAAGGCAAGUCAAGUGGCAGAUUGUAAACAUCCGGUACCCGAUGCAAAUCCGUGUACAGCGACGACGAAGACGAAGACGAAGACGACGACGACGACUGUUGGCUGCGGCGGUCAUCGCCGCCGGCGACAUGCGCCAUUGCAUAUUCGAGCAUUUUUAUUUCGUCCUUUUACGUACUCGUCGAUUCUUUCCUCGGCUAUGCAAAACGAUACCCAUAAAUUCAAUCGGUAAUCAUUGUACAUAAAUUUUAAAGGUAAAUAUACUUAUACCUAUAUAUACACAGA